GACAGAGGGUGCAAACGUUGCUCGGAAUCACUGGGCGUAAAGGGCGUGUAGGCGGGAAGGAAAGUCAGAUGUGAAAUCCCUGGGCUCAACCCAGGAACUGCAUUUGAAACUCCCUUUCUUGAGUGCUGGAGAGGAAAGCGGAAUUCCUGGUGUAGAGGUGAAAUUCGUAGAUAUCAGGAGGAACACCGGUGGCGAAGGCGGCUUUCUGGACAGUAACUGACGCUGAGACGCGAAAGCGUGGGGAGCAAACAGG
rnacentral:rRNA from 1 species